UGCAUAGGGGCCAAAGGUUUCUUUUAGCCUUGAAGACCCAGUGAUGAGCACAUGCUCUGAAUUAUUCUCCAAAUUAACUGCUUCCUGGGAGAAGAGCAGUACUGGCCAUCCAAUGGUGUGUCAAACAGGGCUCGGAAAGCUGCACCUGUGAGACUUAGGGGGUCAUCUUCUUAGGUCUAAGUUAUAGGGAGGCAGGUUAUAUACAGCUCAAAAUAAGAAGCCGCCUUCUAAAAGUCACAGGUGUCUUGGGAUGGAAUGGGCUGCCUCAUAAGGUAGUGAGUCCACCAGCACCAAAGGUAUGCAAGCAGAGCCUGAGCCUGGCUAGAGGAAUUGCUAUUUUAUGCAGGAGACUGGAGGCUACAUGAAAUGAUCACUCAGGCUCCUUCCACUUGUGAGAUUCUAUUUCAUGAUUUCCAAAAGACACUGGGAAUCCCACACGCCCCUACAAAGGGCCUCCAAGCAGGUUUGGAAGUUCUCACGGGACCUGAAGCCCUGACUGAAGACCAGACCUCCCUCCUCCCAGAGCACUUUCUUCCACUGAGCAGGCAGCCGCUGGAGCCCCAUGCAGGAAGCUGGGAGGAAGGAAGCAAGCCUGGAGGUCCAGCCAAGGGCGGGAACCCCACCAGGCGGCAGGGUGGAGGAUGGCACUGCCCCAGCACCCUCACCCAGAGUCGCUGAGUCCCACAGCCCUCUCAUCCUGAAAGCCCUUGGUUUGGAAGGAGAAAGAGCCAAAGCCAAGGGCCUGGGCUGAACCAUAAAUCAGAAGCAGGUGUCCUUUGAAGUUCGUUUAUUCUCCAAGGGAGGUAAAGCAAGAGGCAUGUGAGGGCCUCGCAGAAUACUGUGACAUUACCAAAAAAAAUCCAUCAGGAAACCAGCCCAGAAAGCCUCAUCCUUAAAGAUCUCUCAAAUGAAUAGCAUCAUGCCCAUUUUUCAUUAUGACCCAGCACUGAUGGUAAUGGAAAGGGUGCCCACGCAGCUGAUGGCCAUAAAGCACCGACCCUUCCCUCCUAGUAAUUGUGUGAUCAAAUUAUGAAGGCCUCUGAGCCAGCACAUCUUAGCUUUUAUGAUGCGGUGGAAGACCUGUUGAUCCCUGCUGGGGGAGGAAGCAAAGGACCCUGGGAGGCAUCUCUGGCUACCAUCUGCAAGGGAUGCUCUUCACCCCUCUCUCCUUUCCCUUUGAGUUGUCAGAGGCAGAAGAUCCUCUUUGACAUGCAGAGGGCAGCAUUUUCUGGAUUGGCAUUGCCAGUCGUUUUGCAGCAGCCUUGUAGAGAUGAGGAACCCUGAGCUUUACAUUGUUUCCUAUCAUCAUGCAUUCCCAUUUGUAAUAGGGAAUGUGCCCUCUCCUGGAGUGAUUUCUUCUACUUCCCUGGAUACGUUUAGAUCUCCGAAAUCUGUGAACACAAAUUGAGGUCACAUUUCCAUUAAUGCCCUAAGA
rnacentral:lncRNA from 1 species